rnacentral:rRNA from 1 species
AGGGUUUGAUUCUGGCUCAGGACGAACGCUGGCGGCGUGCCUAAUACAUGCAAGUCGAACGAAACUUUCUUACACCGAAUGCUUGCAUUCACCGUAAGAAGUUGAGUGGCGGACGGGUGAGUAACACGUGGGUAACCUGCCUAAAAGAAGGGGAUAACACUUGGAAACAGGUGCUAAUACCGUAUAUCUCUAAAGAUCGCAUGAUCUUUAGAUGAAAGAUGGUUCUGCUAUCGCUUUUAGAUGGACCCGCGGCGUAUUAACUAGUUGGUGGGGUAACGGCCUACCAAGGUGAUGAUACGUAGCCGAACUGAGAGGUUGAUCGGCCACAUUGGGACUGAGACACGGCCCAA